rnacentral:rRNA from 1 species
UACGUAGGGGGCAAGCGUUGUCCGGAUUUAUUGGGCGUAAAGCGCUCGCAGGUGGUUCGUUGCGUCGUGCGUGAAAGACCCCGGCUCAACUGGGGGAUGUCGUGCGAUACGGGCGGACUGGAGGCCAGUAGGGGGAUGCGGAAUUCCGGGUGUAGUGGUGGAAUGCGUAGAGAUCCGGAGGAACACCAGCGGCGAAGGCGGCAUCCUGGACUGGUCCUGACACUCAGGAGCGAAAGUGUGGGGAGCGAUCCGG